rnacentral:lncRNA from 1 species
AGAACUUGUGAUAAAUUUUUUUGCAAUUUUUCAUAAAUCGUAUACAAACAGCCACUACAACAUACUUCCCCAUGAGACUACAUAAGGGAAGCUCCCUAUAUUUUAUGAGACUUUUCUUUAAUUUAAGCGAUUAUUUCUUUGGUCAUGCAAUCCCUAAUUCUGAUUUCUGCCAUAACAUUGUCCAAUUCAAUGAUGUCACAACACUCACAUCUAUCCAUCUGA